rnacentral:lncRNA from 1 species
CAAAGACUGUGAUGCCUGAUCAGAACAAUCACGAUUCAGUGAGACUGAGCCCUCUGCCAAAACCCUCCAAAAUCCCCAGCUAUUUCCUGACUGUCAGAGGGCCAUGCAGUUAUGGGAUUGCAUCUCCUAUAAAUGAUCAGAUGGUGUCCAGCUGGCCUUGCAAAGAACAUCAGAGUUUUCCGCUCCAGAGGGGAAGGUGUGGUAUUAUUUAACCUGAGACCUAUAGGUUCUGAAAAAGUUUGGACCUGUUGCUCAAAACCAAAAAUGUUUUGCAAGAAUACUGGUUUUGUCAUUGCAGGAAAUCUUGCAAUUCAAAGGAAUCUGUCAAACAAUCAAAGUAAUCUAUUUUCUAAUAAUGCAGCCUACAACUAAAUCUCCAAGACUUCAGCUGAUGGAACACAGAGGAACCAUAGCU